UGGCGUACGGGUGAGUAACACGUGGGUAAUCUACCUCUUAGUGAGGAAUAACCCUGGGAAACCGGGGCUAAUACCGCAUAAGCUCGAGAGAGGAAAGCAGCAAUGCGCUGAGAGAGGAGCCCGCGGCCGAUUAGCUAGUUGGCAGGGUAAAAGCCUACCAAGGCAGAGAUCGGUAGCCGGCCUGAGAGGGCACACGGCCACACUGGCACUGAAACACGGGCCAG
rnacentral:rRNA from 1 species